rnacentral:rRNA from 1 species
UACGGAGGGGGCUAGCGUUAUUCGGAAUUAUUGGGCGUAAAAGGCGUGUAGGCGGCUUCGUAAGUCUUGUGUGAAAGCCCUCGGCUCAACCGAGGAAUUGCACGAGAAACUGCGUGGCUCGAGUCCGGGAGAGGAUAGUGGAAUUCCCAGUGUAGCGGUGAAAUGCGUAGAUAUUGGGAGGAACACCGGUGGCGAAGGCGGCUAUCUGGACCGGUACUGACGCUGAUACGCGAAAGCCAGGGGAGCAAACGGG